AUACAAGUCAAGCAACACAAAAUAGAAUAGAAAACAAUCUCGUUUUGUUUUUUGGCCCCCCUUCAUUUCCCUUGUUUUCUUCACUCUUCAGUUUUCUUAUUAACUUUGAACACUUCCUUCUUCCCCUUCCUUCAAUUUCUUGUAUUCAAUUUGAUUCUGAAGCAUAGCUAGGGUUUUUUUUUCUCUCGCAUCAAUCAUACAGAGAGAGAGAGAGAGAGAGAGAGAGAGGCAGUCAUGGAUUGGGGAAAUGUUACAGCGGAGGAUCUGGUGGACGCUCUCCGGGAGGUGGACUGGUCGUCGCCGCCGCGUCCCUUGUCGGAGUUCUUCUCGCGGUUCACGGUGCCGAGAUCCUCCUCCAAAUGGGAUAGCCGCUUCAAAUGCAAUCUCUACUACUAUCGGACCAACUACUUCCUUUUGAUUGUUUCUGUUCUCAUAUUGGGUUUUCUUCGGAGGCCACUGGCUAUAGUAGCUGCGCUUCUUACCGCCCUUAGCAUCGCUUUCCUAAAUGACAGCUUUGCAGGUACCUUUAGUGAGAGAGUGACAAGAACAGUUAGGCAGUUUUCACCACAUUUAGCUGCCAAGAUGAGACCUCCCCUUACGCCUGUUAUACGGGGACGUCCAUCAUCUAAGAGAGCGAUUUAUAUAUGUGGUCGGCCACGUUGGGUGUUUGUCUUGAUAUUUUCUUCUGCAAGUUUCAUCCUUUGGUUUGUCUCUGCUGGUCUUCUAACUGUUUUGUGGGCACUUGCAUUUGGUCUUCUUGCUACCAUCCUGCAUGCAAGCUUUAGAACCCCUAACUUGAAAGCACGUCUAAACACAUUCCGAGAAGAAUUUCGUGCAGUAUGGCGCAAUUAUAGUGAGCUAUAGGCUGUAGCUUACAUAAUCUUUUUGGUUUUGGAUGUGAGUGCUUUCUACCUUCGUGUUUUCACAAGUGCUGCUGCUGUUCAGUUAAUGUAAUGUUCAAUUGGAAUGGACACUUGUGAAGAAUGCAUAUCAUUGGAAGUUAUCAGCAGAUAGUAAAUUUUCAAGGUUCUUGCGUUUGUAAAGUACACUGUUUUCAUUGCUUAUUAUAUGAAUAGGAGGCAUUUGGAGGUUUUUUAUAAUAUCAUUGACAAAUGCUGUAAGCUAGACUGUCACCACAGUAGCACCCCUAAUUGAAAAUUUAAUUGCAAAAUGUAUGAGAUAUGUGAUGCAAACUUGCAAGAUUCUGAGUUUCUUUUUUAUUAUUGAUUUUCUUUCAUUUUGAGCUA